GGGGCGCUGCCAUUUUUCCGACCGGUCUCCUGUCCCCAUCGCGCCUGUUGGCUGCGGGGGAUGCGGAACGGGGCCCGGCUAUUUCCACCCCAUUUUCCCAUAAUUCCUUUCCCCAUUGAGCCGGCGCCAUCUUGCGUACGGGCCGGAUAAUUGACGUGCCACGUCGUAUACGUUCGUUUAUGAGCAUGCAGCGCAUGCAACAGCACAGCGUUGUUGACAUGGUUGACGUAUCUGUUCCUCCUUGCUCCAGUUUUCUCUUUGAACGGACUCCCGAUGACACCCACAUCACAUGACCAGCUCCAACCAUGCUCCAAGCAUGCUCCAGUGCAUGCUUCAACCAGUUCCUAAAGCAAGAAUCUCAACUCAAGACGAAGACACCUAUUCUUUCCAGUUCAACUGCAAGAUUCCUGCUUUUUCUCUUUACCCAUUCAAAACACAUUUUCCUUCUAGCCAUAAUUUUAUUUUUAGAAGUCAUGAAAUAGUGCCAAACAAAUCACUCUUUUCUGCUGUUUGAUGUCCAUCCUUUUU